AUGAGUUUUAGUUCAACCAAGCUUAUGUUACUGUUGUUCAGAAAGUGCCGUUAUCAGGAAAAAAAACAUGAGUCACAGCAUCACACACAGAAACACGACUGUUUGGCCAGUGGGUUGGUGGGGGCUCCUCCUGCUCCUUUCUGCUGCCAGGGAUGCCUGAUGCUACAGAGCCAGGGAUGCUGCUCCAGGCUCCUCUUCAACAGAUUCCAUGGCAAGUCAGUAAGGUUCGAGCCAGACCAAAGCACCCAGCAGCCAAGUUGCCAAGAGGAGCUGCCCACAUGCCAGGAACACAACACCUCCCGGCACACCACUCUUGCUAUGACGUGGUCAGCACAGAUCACCCUUUCAGAGAGCAGACGUCAUCCUGCAAGGCUGACUUGGACGGUGUUGGAGAAGAUCACACUUCUUACUCUUUCCUGCUUUCAGUUUCUUCACCACUUACAGCUAGAUUAUCCCCAUGCAGCACAGUGCAACAAUGCACAACAUUUUUUCUUCUGAUAUGAAAUCACCGUGUAGACAUCAGAUAAUGUUUUUCUUCAAUUUCAGUGAUUUGCUUGCUUAUCACAGAAAUGCCAAUCCUAUAAAAAACUAUCCCUAGACUGCUGAGAAUAUGGAUUUCAUUUGCUGUGUGAAGAAUUAUCGUCACUGUUCUUCUAGCAUGUAAACUGUUAAACUGAGGAACUACUCAAAAGGAGCGUAAACUGCAUAUUUUCCAAUUCUUAUCCUGCAACUCAGACUCAUGUUACAUCAAUAUAUAAGGUUGGCUUUUAACUGGUCCUAAGAUGGCAUCUGAUCAAGUUUUAUUAGAAUUACAUGAACUAUGUUUUACCUUCCUUAACCCUUAGAAGAACCCCAUCCUACCUAACUGCACCUCUACUUUUUUCCUCACAAUGCAGUACUCAACAGCACCUCCAUUUCAGCGAGCCCAGCAUUUGCAGCCACGCUGUGAAUUACCCAGACCCUUCCUGGAUGUGUAUGGGAGGAACAGCAACAGCAGAGGCUCACAAAAGCAGUCUGAAAUUCUAGCAGGAGCUAUGGCACAUUAUGCUAGAAGCCAAACAUUUUGUACUCUCAAUUGAGGAUACUUCUAGGAUACUUCUAAGUAAGAACACAGCAUAUUUAUUGCUGUCAAUUUGUGCAAACAGCUCUAACUUUGCAUUCAGACAUAGACUAAAACAGGGUAUCU
rnacentral:lncRNA from 1 species